CCCCAGAAUCUCCUUCGCUCCGUGGUCCCCGACGUGCUCCGGGCUCUCAGGGAGCUGCUGGAAUUCGACGAGGAUCUCUGCGCCGACGCCUUGGAAGUGCUGGACGAGCUCCUGGAGGCGAAUCCCGAGGCCCUGAUCCCUCACCUGGAGGAAACGUUGGAUUUCCUUCUCCAGGUGGCCGGGGACGAGUCCAGGGGUGACCCCGUGAGGGUUCGGGCGCUGGCGACCGUCAC